UACGUAGGGUGCGAGCGUUAAUCGGAAUUACUGGGCGUAAAGCGUGCGCAGGCGGUUUUGUAAGCCAGAUGUGAAAUCCCCGGGCUUAACCUGGGAAUGGCAUUUGGGACUGCAAGGCUUGAGUGCGGCAGAGGAGACUGGAAUUCCCGGUGUAGCGGUGAAAUGUGUAGAGAUCGGGAGGAACACCGGUGGCGAAGGCGGGUCUCUGGGCAAUUCCUGACGCUGAGGCGCGAAAGCGUGGGGAGCAAACGGG
rnacentral:rRNA from 1 species